AGGUUGCAGGAUGUUGUUUACAUCUUUUCAAAACCCUCAAUGACAGCACGAGGAAGCAGAGUCCAGGCAAAGGAUCAGUCUUGUUUGGUGGAGGAAACGGAGACUGCUGCUCAGGGCUGCUAAAAUGUGUGUGGCAGGGUAUCAGAAAGGAUGGAGUUGCAGAGAAGGAGCCCCAGAAAUCUUAUAGAGGUUGCUGCAGGUCCUUGGCCAAAUCCCAAACUAUGAAUGUGUGGAUUGAGACUCUGCAAGGCCUAGCACAGAACAGCCGAUGGGGAGCUGAGAGCUAAACAGCGAUUUCAGUGGUCACAGAGUGCUGGAAACACAUCUGAAUUCUGGCUCAGCCAGCAUCUCCACUCUUGGAAUCUCAGGACUUGAUGAAUAUCCCAGACAUUCACAGGAGGGCCUAGAAGGCCAUGCCUUGGGAUUAAGGAAGAUUCUCUAGGAAUAAGGUCAAAACUAAAAACCAGCUCACGCUAACAAAACCUAAAAUGUAGCCUUGACACACGUGAUCAAGUUAACCCAUCAGUAAUUUAAUUCCCUGCCAAAAUAAAACUCAACACUGGAGUAGGAUAACAUAACCCACAUCUCUACAAUGAAGGUUCACAAUGUCCAACAGCUCAAGAAAUACUUAGAAGACAUGAGAAAAAGUGAGAAAAUAUAUCCUACAAUUAAGAGAAAACCAGUCAAUACGAACUGACCCACUGUGCAUGGUGGCUCACGCCUGUAAUCCCAGCAAUUUGGGAGGCCAAGGCAGGUAGAUCACUUGAGCUCAAGACUUUGAGAUCAGCCUGGGCUACAUGGCAAAACCCCAUCUCUACUAAAAAUUCAAAACUGAGUUGGGUGUGGGGGUGUGCAGGGGCCCAUAACCCCCAGGCUGUGGACUGUACCCGUCGGUGACCUGGUAGGAACCAGGCUGCGCAGCAGGAAGUGAGUGGUGGACAGCGAGCAUUACUGCCUGAGCUCCGCCCCCCGUCAGAUCAGCAGGCAUUAGAUUCUCAUAGAAGCGUGAAUCCUAAUGUGAACUGCACAUGCAAGGGAUCUAGGUUUCACACUCUUUAUGAGACUCUAAUGCCUGAUGAUCUGAAGUGGAACAGUUUCAUACCAAAACCACCACCCCUGACCCUGUCUGUGGUAAAAUUGUCUUCCACAAAACCAGUCAGGACUGCUGGUGGCACAUGCCUGUGGUCCCAGCUACUUGGAAGGCUGAGGUGAAAGGAUGGCUUGAGCCUGGGAGGUGGAGGUUGCAGUGAGUUGAGAUCAUGCCGCUGCACUCCAGCCUGGACAACAGAGUGAAAUCUUAUCUCAAAGAAACAAACAAACAAAAGGGCCGGGCAUGGUGGCUCCCAUCUGUAAUCCCAGCACUUUGGGAGGCUGAGGCAGGCAGAUCACCUGAGGUCAGAAAUUCAAGACCAGCCAGGUGAGGUGGAGGUUGCAGUGAGCCGAGAUGGCAGCAUUUUACUCCAGCCUGGGCUACAAGAGUGAAACUCCAUCUCAAAAAAAAAAAAAAAAAAAAAAAAAAAAAAAAAGGGGGCCCAUAAAUGGCUCACACAUUGGAAUUAGCAGGCAAGAGCUUUAAAGUAACUGCAUACAUACAUCAAAGAUUUUAGAGAAAUAUCAACACCUGUGAAGAUGGUGAAAAAAGAAUUUAGAGAAAUAAUUUUUAGUAUAAGUAUGUCCUAAAUAUGCAUGGUACAUACUUACUAAAAUAUAGUUUAUUUUUUAAUCAGAAAUCUAAAUUUAACUGGGCAUCCUAUAUUUUAUCUGGCAUCUCUACCCCAAAGCCAAGAAAGAGAGAAUCCAGAGUCCUAUCUUUUAGCAGGUGACCUAGCCUAGGACAGGGCCUGGCCAGGGGCAAUUGUGCAUUGGAUGGAUUAGAGAUGCCAGUCAUUCAAAGGUUUGCCAGACCUGCAUACAAUCAACAUUAUUUUUAUUUAAUAUUUUUGUCUAAAGCAACUUUAAAAAUGUUAACCCUUUAUUUGGAAAUAUAGAUUCAGAGGAAAUUUCAAAGAUGGUACAGAGAGGUUUCAUGUACUUUUUACUCAGUUUCCUCCAAAGGUUCUAUUUUGUAUAAAUGUAGGACAAUAUCUAACAAUGUCACAUGACUAUGUCUAUGCCAUUUUAUCACAUAUGUAGACUCCUUUAACCACCGCUACGAUCAAGAUAGAGAACUGUUCCGACACCACGAAAAUUCCACUCCUGCUAUUACUCUGCACUCAUUCCUGGCUCUUCCCCUCCACUAUUCCUACUCCUGGCAACCACUAAUCUGCUUUCUGUCUUUAUAAUCUUCUCACUUCAAGAACAUUAUAAAAUGCAAAAAUUAGCCAGGCGUGAUGGCGUUAGCUUGUAGUUCCAGCUACAUGGAGGCUGAGGCAGGAGAAUCACUUGAACCUGGGAGGUGGAGGCUACAGUGAUCCUGCCAUUGCAAUCCAGCCUGAGAGACAGGGUGAGACUCUCAAUGAAUGAAUGAAUGAAUGAAAGAAGAUCUGGCAUGGUGGCUCACACCUAUAAUCCCAGUGCUUUGGGAGGCCGAGGCAGGUGGAACCGCUGAGGCCUGGAGUUUGAGUCCAGCCUGGCCAACAUGACAAAACGCUGUCUCUACUAAAAAUACAAAAAUUAGCCAGCAUGAUGGUGCGCGCCUGUACUCCCAGCUACUUGGGAGGCUGAGGCAUGAGAAUCACUUGAACCCAGGAGGCGGAGGCUGCAGUGAGCCGAGAUUGUGCCACUGCACUCCAGUCUGGGCCACAGAGUGAGACUUUGUCUAAAAAAAACAAACAAAAAAAACAAAACCAAACAAAGAAAAAAAGAACAUUAUAUAAAUGGAAUCACACAGUAUGUGGCCUUUUGAGACUGGCUUUUUAUUUUUUGUACUCAGCAAAUGCCCUUUGAGAUCCGUCCAAGUUGUGCAUGUUCCUUUUUAUUGUUUUUUUUUCUGUUUGAGAUGGAGUCUCGCUCUGUCACCCAGGCUGGAAUGCAGUGGCAUGAUCUCAGCUCACUGCAACCCUCCACCUCCUGGGUUCAGGCAAUUCUCCUGCCUCAGCCUCCUGAGUAGCUGGAAUUAUAGGCACCCACCAUCAUGUCUGGCCUUUUUUUUUUUUUUUUAGAUGAAGUUUUGCUCUUAUUGCCCAGUACAUAGGCAUGAUCUCAGCUCACUGCAACCUCUGCCUCCCGAGUUUAAGCAAUUUUACUGCCCCAGCCUCCUGAGCAGCUGGGAUUACGGGUGCCCCCCACCAUGUCCAGCUAUUUUUUUUGUAUUUUUAGUAGAGAUGGGAUUACACCAUGUUGGCCAGGCUGGUCUCAAACUCCUGACCUCAGGCAAUCCACCUGCCUUGGCCUCCCAAAGUGCUGUGUUUAUAGGCAUGAGCCAUCGUGUCUGGCCCCCUUUUUAUUGUUGAAUAGUAUUUCAUAGAAUGGAUGUAUCAGUUUGCUUAACCAUUCACCUAUGGGGGAGUAUUUGGUUGUUUCCAAUUUGGGGCUAUCACAAAUAAACCUGCCAUAAACAAUCAUGUAUGAGUUUUUGUGCAGACAUCAGUUUAUUUAUUUUCUGGUACAAAUGCCCAGAAGCAAUUGCUAGGUCAUAUAUUGAGGUGUAUGUUUAAUUAAAAAAGCUGCCAAACUAUUUUCUAGAGAGUCUGUACCAUUUUAUAUUCCCAUCAGUGAUGUAUGAGUUAGUUUUGUCUGCAUCCUCGCCAAUAUUUGAUAUUAUCACUAUGUUUGAUUUGAGCUGUUCUAAUAGAUAUGCAGUGAUAUCUUACUGUGGUUUUAAUUGCAUUUCCCCAGUGGUUAGUGUUGAAGAUCUAUUCAUGUGCUUUAAGUCAACUCAUUUUUAAAACCUAAAUAAAUGUAUUUAAAAAGGAAACUUUCGCUUUGGGAGGCCAAAGCGGGUGAAUUGCUUGAGCCCAGGAGUUCAAGACCAGCCUGAGCAACAUGGCGAAACUCUGUCUCUACAAAAAUUACAAAAAUAUCCAGGCAUGGUGACGUGAGCCUAUAGUUUCAGCUACUUGGGAAGUGAGGCAGGAGGAUUGCUUGAGCCUGGGAGGUUGAGGCUGCCGUGAGCUGUGAUCGCACCAUUAUACUCCAGCCUGGGAGACAGAGCAAAACCCUGCCUUAAAUAAAUAAAUGAAUAAAAGGAAAUUUGUGAUUAGUGGUUCUCAAAGUGUGGUCCCUGAGCCAGCAGCAUCAGCAUCCCCAUCAGCUGAGAACUUGUUAGAAAUGCAGAUUCUCAGGCGCCACCCCAGACCUCCUGAAUCAGAACCUCUGAGGCGUGGGUUCAGCGACCUGUGGUUUAACAAGCCCUCCCGGUGAGAAUCGGUCUCAUUCACUACAGAUAGAAGGAAAUGGUAAAAAUCAAUUCAUCCCCGUAUCGCCUAAAAUCCUCCUGUGGGCCCCAGGUUGGCACAGCA
rnacentral:lncRNA from 10 species